GACAGAGGCCUCAAGCGUUAGGCGGAAUCACUGGGCUUAAAGCGUGUGUAGGCGGACUUCUAAGUGCCUUGUGAAAUCCCACGGCUCAACCGUGGAACUGCUGGGCAUACUGGGGAAGUCUUGGGCCAUUCAGGGGCAACUGGAACAAGCGGUGGAGCGGUGAAAUGCGUAGAUAAUCGAGGAGGAACACCGGUGGCGAAGGCGGGUCUCUGGGCCGAUACUGACGCUGGAGGAGCGAAAGCGUGGGGAGCGAACAGG
rnacentral:rRNA from 1 species